GUCUCGGGUUGGUCCGCGAGCUCUAAGUCCUGGAGCCCUGCUCUCCCCUCCUGCGGGUCGGCCCUGGUAGCUCCUGGCAGGUGUCAGUAGGCCAGGCCCGGAUUCCCCCAAACUUAAACGCUGGGCGCCCGAGUUUCGAUUUCUUCUGCUGCGAAACAAUGGUCGUUGGGAUUCGAAGUGAGAGAAUGCAGGGCAAAUCGCCUAACAGUAUUUAGUGAGUUCUCCAGAGCAUAGCCAGUACUACAAGCAGCAACACGGACAGAACUGAGCAGCACUAUCGGGGGUGGGGGUGGGGGUGGCAAAAGACCACAGUCUGAUUUCACUUCUAUGAAAUUUUAGAGGUAAACUGUAGCGACAGCAUUUGCCUGGGGAGGAGAAACCAGGACCUAAUGCAGUGCAAAGGAGCGGGGGGAGGGGGGGACUUAGAAGAGGUGAAAGAAUGUACUCUGCAUCUUAAUGGGAACGGUGGUUACGCGACUUACACGGCGGCCAAAAUUCAUAGAAUUGUAGUCUCUAGAUGGGCGAAGCUUAUCUUCAAGUUAUAUACAAAAUUUCCUCAGAGUUGGGGCAAAAAGUUUUAAAAAUGAUCACUGCUAGGCGUAGUUGAGGACUUAAGUUUGUGGGGAGAAAAUACCAGUUUACAAAAAUCUGAGCGUUAGACGCAUGCAGUCUCUGAAUGUAGUAGCUUCUCCGAGUCCUCUAGAACCAGGGGAUAGCCUAGGUCCGAGGAGGAUCCAGGAUUGCAAGCAGGAUCCUAAAUUUGCUAGGGUCUGUUGAUGUAGAGGAUUGGCCUCCGUGUGGCAUCCUUUCCCUGGAUGAGGGUCGGGCUUCAACACUGCCCCCUUGAUGGGAUGUUCCCGCGGGUCCCCCUUGCCCCAGACUCAUGAGGAACUACAGUCCAUCUCCCCCUGGCUUCCCUGACAGUUGGCUGGUGGGAUCCAGGGCUGGGCCCAGAGCAGUGAGAACUAGAGGCCCGUGAGGAGAGCCUCACAAAAGAGGCAGAAAACAAGUAGUAGCCAGCGUGUACGCUCAGGCCCCUUCCUCCCAUCCACACGGUUCUGCAUGGAAGCUGCCUUUGAGGACUGAGCAAUCCAACUGUACUUUCCUGUGAAGUUGCUUUCAGAUCAAUAAUGCACCACUGCAUCUGGCCUCCCUGGCCUAGAAAUUACCUUCUAAUCACAUCUCGGCGCUUAAACUUGGCCUCAGGCUCAGCUUUCUAAUCAACCCUUUAGCAGUCUUUGGGCUUUAGAUCUGUGCUUUCUUCAAAUUUCACAAUCACAAGCAGAAUUAGGACCUUUUUCCCCUCCCUUGCUUUGGCCGUGGUUUACUGUCCCACUAAAGUGCUAGUUUAUUUGGGUAACUCCGAUAUAAUUUAUUAGUCCAUGUUCGCAGCACAUAAUGGUUCCAUUCCUUGUGUGGAGUUGGUCUGUGUACAGAACACAUCUUAAUUACUUUUUUUCAUCUUUUCCUCUCCUUUGACAAAGAUGUCUCCCUACGUCCUAUUUAUAAUUGGGUUUCUCACAUAAGAUCAUGUGAUACGUAAGUGCUUAUGGGUUUAGGUGAUCCCUUGGGGCCAAUGCUGAAUACAUGUAUUUUUUUUUUUGAAGUAGUGGACCCCCCCCCCCCAUUUGAAGUUGGUAGAGGUAAAAGUUUUGCCUUACAUUUAUUGGUUUCUAGUAGAGCUCCCUCAGGAGUGCUCGAUCCUGGGCACUUACCGGUUUUAAACAGUUGGAAGCUUGAAAGCCUUGAAGUAGGAACCAAAGACCUUUCAAUUAUCCGAUAAAGCUGUGAGCCUAGGUGGGAAGACUGAGGCCUAAUUGGCCUCUUCGGCCAGCACUGAGAGGAAAAGGGGGAUCCAAGCGAGCUAACACGCCGCAGGGAGAAGUAGAAACACCGGAGGGUAGGUUGUUUACCCGGAGAAGUACCGUGGGGGUGGAGACAGAUGGAUUCUGUGAACUGUAAUUGCUCUGCCCGUGUCUGGGUGAAUAAAGCCAAGGUGGCCAGUGGCUUGCGGCUCUAUAUCGAAGGGAGACGUGAGCUCUCGGGCCUCCCAGAUUUUAAACCUGUUUGUGUGUGGCUAUUUGUUCAUCCUCCACACCCCUCGGUUAGAUUUGAGCUCGGAGGCUGGUCCUACAUGAGUCUAGGGUCUAGUUACAUGAUUUCAGCCUACUGUAAAACCACAUUCUAUCUUUCCUAAAAUCAGGGGAGGGUAUAUUAAAGCCUUGUUUAAAGUGACCUCUAGUUGAUAAUUUUUGCAUGCAGCAUCAGGGGACAACACUGCAUCCAAUCAACUCAUUUAAAUGGAUAGCUUGAACAGAAGCAGGAUUUCUCUCCACAGUUCUCGCAGUGGAAUCCUUGGGGAAAGAGGAAAAGAUUAAGUCAUCAUUUGAGUUUCUUCAGGCUCAACCAAAGGCUAACAAUUCACAGAAAUAUCUUGGAAUCAAAGAGAAGACUCUGGUGCUCUCACUGGCUGUUGUUUGGCACCUUGGAUAGCCAGGGCAGAGACACAAAACGAGAGCAAAGACUGUAGGAAACUUCCCUAAGAGAAGAGGGGAAAGAGAGCAUUUGGUUGCUUUGAAAUGGAUAUGUGGAAACCAGCCUCACUCGGGCAGCCUUUGCAGCCUUCUGCUGAGCUCCAGGCCCCUGCCUGGCAGCCUCUCACAGGUGACGGGCAGAAAGGGGAUUGUCUUUAGAAUCUGCACUGAAGCCACCGCCGCCUCUCCACCACUGAGAUCCAACUGGUUCCCUCUAAAAUGGCUUUUUAAAAUUUGCAAAUACAGAAACAGGCUGGGGAGAACCUAAGCAAAAGUGUACAUUUACUGGAUGAGUACUUGACCAGCUCAUGGAUUCCAAGAAGUUGACCAAGCCUCUCCCCCGAAGAGCAGGCACUGGGCAGUUCCUGGAAGCUGAGCGGCUGAACUCCACUGACCCCUCCAAAGGGCUGCCUUUAAUGACUCGAGUACCAACUCCCGAGGCUCAUCUACGGCCGCCUCACUGUGGAAAUCUAAAAAUUCUUCAGAGAUUCCCAAUGGCCUGCAUGGGCACUACAGUGUGGGCCUUUCCUUUUAAACUGAUCCUCUUUAAAAAUGGUUUCAGGCACUGCUAACCUCAGCUGAGUAGAUGGGGCUGUCGGAACCAGAUUCCGAUGCCCAGUGUAAAGAGUCAAAGUAGCAGCAGUCCCAACAGGGUAAAGUUUAAAAGAACCUAUUCUCUUGGGCAAGAUGCACUUUAAAAGUGUCUCUGCCUAGGGCUGGGGUGUGGCUCUGGUGGACUCACCCAGCUUGUCCAGGGUAGGGGUGGGAGGUUGUCUUCUGGUUUCUGGUGGCCUCAUUCAUUUAGUAAUUACUUCUAAAUAACCUGCUGUGAAUAAACCUAGACCUGUGUCUCGUGUGUGAGCAGUCUUAAGGGAUUCUGAGAGUAACUUUUCAUAUGAACACUGGAUUUUAAGCCCCUUCCCCUUGGAUGAGAAACCUACAGAUUUUGCCUGAGCAACGAGAGCACAUCCUUGUUAAGGUUAAGAUUUCACUGUCUCUGUUCAGAGCCUUCAUUAGGCUACAUCAGAGGACAACUGAGAUGGCUCUGCAAUUAACUGCAGCCAAGCGUCACUUGUUUUUAUAAUGUGACUUGGGUAUAACUGAAAAAUAACUCAUGCCUCUUUUCCUUUCCCUUCUGAACUGGAUAGAUAACUGCACAUAAGUUAACUUUUUAUUUUUGGUACUGGGGAUCAAACUCGGGACCUUGCACUUUCAAGGCAGGCACCAGAACCACUGAGCUAAAUUCCCGGCCCCCACAUAAGUUAAUUUUUUAAAAAAUUCUAGCUAUUUCCUCAAACCUGAGGUAAGAGCAGUUUAGAAGACAUUUAGCAGCCAAGCUCCCCAAGGGAGGCCAGGAACUUCUAACUGACAAGGGCUGCUAAGGCCGCAGAGUCUACCCAGAAUGCAUAUGCAAAGUAUCUGGAAAUUUGGUUUGGGCUUAGAUCUGAGCAAAUCUGAUGUUCUGUACUCCAGAAUUGCUUCAACUUCAACCAGCAGCCACGCUCAUGGUCCAGGCAGAUUGCCUACCAUCCCCAAUACAGGUUCUGUUUUUGUGUUUGAUAAUAAAACUAGGCAUGGAGCAUGGAGAGCUAUCCCAGCGGAUCAUCUGUGUGGCAAAUAUGCUGCUUUCUUGCAUUCUGCCACAGAGCCCUGCCUCCUCCUCAUGACCAGGAUCAGUGACCACUACUAGUACUGAGACUGAAGUAACCUAGUGGCAGCUUUGGUGUAAAGGACAGUGGGCCCCUGUGUCUACGGAUAAAGUGUUGUCCUUCUGGGAACCAAGACCACGUGACCCUCAAUGUAAAGUUUUGGCUACAAGAAGCACAAAUCUUCCAAAUGUACCACUAGGAAGGACAGUAAGCAAGGCCAUGCCUAUUUCCUCCUAGCCCCCAUGGCCCUAGCCCCACGUAUUUAGUUUGGGACGUAUCACCCUAAAUCAAUGAUCAACAUAUGGCGCUAGCUCAACCUGUAG
ensembl:lncRNA